AUGCCUGGACAAGUCUAGUUUCACAGUUUAAGUGAGUUGGUCCACCAUUUAUGUUCACGUGUGUGCGUCCAGAGAAACGCUUUGAAACGCAGGAGGCUUCACAAAUGAGAAGAGCUUGAAGACAAACCGCUUGUGAAGCGAGGGAUACGUCAGCUCCUUGCUGGAGAUGACUGGUGAUAAAACUGCCCUCUGGCUGUCACCACUGAAAGGACACCUGGAUUGGAUGCAAAGACUAUCCCUUACUCGGUUUUUCCAGUAUAGGAGCAGGGUCCAUCUUUGGGCAUCAUGAGGAUCUUUGGAUGGUGUGGCCCAGCAGUCCCUCAGCAGCAGCUCCAGGCCCUUGUUCUGAAGUUUGAGGACAAACACCUCCACAUACACGGGCUGGCCCAGCUCAGUGACCACUGGAGGCUCACGGGAGGAGAAGAAGGACCGGUAAGAG